rnacentral:rRNA from 1 species
CCAGCAGCCGCGGUAAUUCCAGCUCCAAUAGCGUAUACUAAAGUUGUUGCAGUUAAAAAGCUCGUAGUUGAACUGUGGACGUUGUAGUUGUGCAUUUGUUCUUGAUGGACAGGCCGACAUUUGCGUCCGUUCUUUUCACUGCAAAGUGAAAUCGUUUACUGUAAAAAAAUUAGAGUGUUCCACGCACGGUUUGGGCCGGGAAUAUGCUAGUAUGGAAUAAUGAGAUAGGGCUUUGGUACUAUUUUGUUGGUUUGCAUGCCAAGGUAAUGACUAAUAGGGACAGUUGGGGGUAUUCGUAUUACGAUGUCAGAGGUGAAAUUCUUGGAUUUUCGAAAGACGAACAACUGCGAAAGCAUUUACCAAGGAUGUUUUCAUUAAUCAAGAACGAAAGU